UGCAAGUCGAGCGAACAGAUGAGGAGCUUGCUCCUCUGACGUUAGCGGCGGACGGGUGAGUAACACGUGGAUAACCUACCUAUAAGACUGGGAUAACUUCGGGAAACCGGAGCUAAUACCGGAUAAUAUAUUGAACCGCAUGGUUCAAUAGUGAAAGACGGUUUUGCUGUCACUUAUAGAUGGAUCCGCGCCGCAUUAGCUAGUUGGUAAGGUAACGGCUUACCAAGGCAACGAUGCGUAGCCGACCUGAGAGGGUGAUCGGCCACACUGGAACUGAGACACGGUCCAGACUCCUACGGGAGGCAGCAGUAGGGAAUCUUCCGCAAUGGGCGAAAGCCUGACGGAGCAACGCCGCGUGAGUGAUGAAGGUCUUCGGAUCGUAAAACUCUGUUAUUAGGGAAGAACAAAUGUGUAAGUAACUAUGCACGUCUUGACGGUACCUAAUCAGAAAGCCACGGCUAACUACGUGCCAGCAGCCGCGGUAAUACGUAGGUGGCAAGCGUUAUCCGGAAUUAUUGGGCGUAAAGCGCGCGUAGGCGGUUUUUUAAGUCUGAUGUGAAAGCCCACGGCUCAACCGUGGAGGGUCAUUGGAAACUGGAAAACUUGAGUGCAGAAGAG
rnacentral:rRNA from 1 species